rnacentral:rRNA from 1 species
CGCAUCUGUGCAUGCAGCAUAUCAAUAAGCGGAGGAAAAGAAACUAACAAGGAUUCCCUUAGUAACGGCGAGUGAAGCGGGAAGAGCUCAAAUUUGAAAUCUUCAAGGUUUUACCUUGACGAAUUGUAGUUUAAAGAAGUGUUUUCUGUUGAAGUUUUGGUAAAAGUUCUUUGGAAUAGGACAUCAUAGAGGGUGAGAAUCCCGUAUUUGACCAUUAUUUUCAGCUGUGUGAUACACUUUCAAAGAGUCGGAUUGUUUGGGAAUGCAGUCCAAAAUGGGUGGUAAAUUUCAUCUAAGGCUAAAUAUUGGCGAGAGACCGAUAGCGAACAAGUACCGCUGAGGGAAAGAUGAAAAGAACUUUGAAAAGAGAGUUAAACAGUACGUGAAAUUGUCAAAAGGGAAGCGUUUGACACCAGUGUUGUUUUCUCGAAAAUCAAUUAAAAAGAGUUUGAUUUUGUUGUGUAUUGACCUUAACAGCUUGCAUUUCAAUUUUCUUGCUUUUUUUAAUGCACCUUUCGUUUAACAAGUCAACAUCAGUUUCUUUUGUUGUAAAAAGGUCAUUGGAAGGUGGCUUUCUUUUCGGAGAAAGUGUUUAUAGCCUUUGACUCCUGCAAUCGGAGAGACUGAGGUCUGCAGCGUAGAUCCUUCGGGGUUAGAUACAUUUGUGCUAAGUUAUAGCUUUUUAUAGACAACUUGUUGACUAUGAUUAGUCUUGUAGCUUACUCGCUUAUGCUAUUUUACCUACGCUUAGGAUGUUGAUGUGAUACUGCGAGC